GACGAACGCUGGCGGCGUGCUUAACACAUGCAAGUCGAACGCUGAAGCUUGGUGCUUGCACUGGGUGGAUGAGUGGCGAACGGGUGAGUAAUACGUGAGUAACCUGCCCUUGACUCUGGGAUAAGCCUGGGAAACUGGGUCUAAUACUGGAUACGACAUGUCACCGCAUGGUGGUGUGUGGAAAGGGUUUUACUGGUUUUGGAUGGGCUCACGGCCUAUCAGCUUGUUGGUGGGGUAAUGGCUCACCAAGGCGACGACGGGUAGCCGGCCUGAGAGGGCGACCGGCCACACUGGGACUGAGACACGGCCCAGACUCCUACGGGAGGCAGCAGUGGGGAAUAUUGCACAAUGGGCGGAAGCCUGAUGCAGCGACGCCGCGUGAGGGAUGACGGCCUUCGGGUUGUAAACCUCUUUCAGCACGGAAGAAGCGAAAGUGACGGUACGUGCAGAAGAAGCGCCGGCUAACUACGUG
rnacentral:rRNA from 1 species